rnacentral:misc_RNA from 1 species
AGAAAAUAAGCAAAUACUAUAAAAAGCAGAACAAAUAUCAAUGGCGUUAAUAGCAUCAUCGAAUUUAUUCCGUCGGAAAUUGCCCAUAGUAGGCGCUUUCUGUGUUCUUACUUUUGGUCUUUCUAAUCUCUCUGUCCCUUUUACUAAUACAGGUUUUGCUCAUUCACUUCCCUUUCCCCCUCUUCUGCGGUCGAAAUUAGGUGGUGAAAGACGAAGUACAAGUGUUAGUAGAAUAAGAAUGGAAGCUAGCAGCAAGAUUGUUCCAAGCAUUGUUGUUUAUGUCACUGUUCCUAACAAAGAAUUGGGUAAGAAACUGUCAGGGAGCAUAGUCAAGGAGAAACUUGCAGCAUGUGUUAAUCGAGUACCAGGUGUAGAAUCGGUUUACGAGUGGCAAGGAGAGAUACAGACCGAUUCUGAAGAGCUGCUUAUAAUCAA